GGUACACGAGCGGCGAACGGGUGAGUAACACGUGGGUGACCUGCCUUCAGCUCUGGGAUAAGCUUGGGAAACUGGGUCUAAUAUCGGAUAUGACUGUCUGCCGCAUGGUGGGUGGUGGAAAGUUCUUGGGCUUUGGUCUGGGUUCGGCUGGGGAUGGGCCUGCGGCCUAUCAGCUUGUUGGUGGGGUGAUGGCCUACCAAGGCGACGACGGGUAGCCGGCCUGAGAGGGCGACCGGCCACACUGGGACUGAGACACGGCCCAGACUCCUACGGGAGGCAGCAGUGGGGAAUAUUGCGCAAUGGGCGGAAGCCUGACGCAGCGACGCCGCGUGGGGGAUGACGGCCUUCGGGUUGUAAACCUCUUUCGCCAUCGACGAAGGUUCUGUGGUUGUGAGGCUGCAGGGUUGACGGUAGGUGGAGAAGAAGCGCCGGCCAACUACGUGCCAGCAGCCGCGGUAAUACGUAGGGUGCGAGCGUUGUCCGGAAUUAUUGGACGUAAAGAGCUCGUAGGCGGUGUGUCGCGUCGGCCGUGAAAACCUGCAGCUUAACUGUGGGCGUGCGGUCGAUACGGGCAUCACUGGAGUUCGGCAGGGGAGACUGGAAUUCCUGGUGUAGCGGUGAAAUGCGCAGAUAUCAGGAGGAACACCGGU
rnacentral:rRNA from 1 species